rnacentral:rRNA from 1 species
GAUGAACGCUGGCGGCGUGCCUAAUACAUGCAAGUCGAGCGAACGGACGAGAACCUUGCUUCUAUGAUGUUAUCGGCGGACGGGUGAUUCACACGUGGAUAACCUAACUAUAAGACUGGGAUAACUUUGGGAAACCGGAGCUAAUACCGGAUAAUAUUUUGAACCUCAUGGUUCAAACGUGAAAGACGGUCUUUCUUUCACUAAUAGAUGGACCCGCCCUGCAUUCGAUAGUUGGUAAGGUAACGGCUUACCAAGGCAACGAUGGAUAGCCGACCCGAACGCGAGAUUGGCCAGACGGGCAGUGAGACACGGCAGAGACUCUUACAGUGGGACGCAGUAGGGAAUCCUCCGCGAUGGGGGAGUGCGGGACGGAGCAACGCGGGGUGAGGGAUGAAGGUGCUCGGAUCGGAAAACGCUGUAAGUAGUGGAGUACAUAUGUGUAAUUAACUGUGAUGAUCAUGACGGUACCUAGUCAGAAAGCCACGGCUAACUACGUG